GACGAACGCUGGCGGCGUGCUUAACACAUGCAAGUCGAACGGAAAGGCCCUGCGUUUGUGGGGUGCUCGAGUGGCGAACGGGUGAGUAACACGUGAGUAACCUGCCCUUGACUUUGGGAUAACUUAAGGAAACUGGGGCUAAUACCGGAUAGGAGAUCCUGCUGCAUGGAGGGGAUUGGAAAGUUUCGGCGGUUGGGGAUGGACUCGCGGCUUAUCAGCUUGUUAGUGGGGUAGUGGCUUACCAAGUAUUUGACGGGUAGCCGGCCUGAGAGGGUGACCGGCCACCUUGCUACUGAGAUACGGCCCAGACUCCUACGGGAGGCAGCAGUGGGAAAUCUUGCACAAUGAGCGCAAGCCUGAUGCAGAAACGCCGCGUGCGGGAUGACGGCCUUCGGGUUGUAAACCGCUUUCGCCUGUGACGAAGCGUUAGUGACGGUAAUGGGUAAAGAAGCACCGGCUAACUACGUG
rnacentral:rRNA from 1 species